GGAGUUAGCCGGUGCUUCUUCUGUGAGUGAUGUCCUUCCUGCCGGUUAUUGACCCGCAGGCCUUCUUCCUCACUGAAAGUGCUUUACAACCCGAAGGCCUUCUUCACACACGCGGCAUGGCUGGAUCAGGGUUGCCCCCAUUGUCCAAUAUUCCCCACUGCUGCCUCCCGUAGGAGUCUGGGCCGUGUCUCAGUCCCAGUGUGGCUGAUCAUCCUCUCAGACCAGCUACGGAUCGUCGCCUUGGUGAGCCGUUACCUCACCAACCAGCUAAUCCGACAUAGGCUCAUCCGAUAGCGCGAGGCCCGAAGGUCCCCCGCUUUCCCCCGUAGGGCGUAUGCGGUAUUAGCCUGGGUUUCCCCAGGUUAUCCCCCACUACCGGGCAGAUUCCUAUGCAUUACUCACCCGUCCGCCGCUCGCCACCAGGGAGCAAGCUCCCCGUGCUGCCGCUCGACUUGCAUGUGUUAGGCCUGCCGCCAGCGUUCAAUCUGAGCCAGAAUCGAACCCUGA
rnacentral:rRNA from 1 species